UUAAAGUCUAACCUGCCCACUGAAUUUUUAAAUGGCCGCAGUAUUUUAACUGUGCAAAGGUAGCAUAAUCAUUAGUCUUUUAAUUGAAGGCUGGAAUGAAUGGUUGGACGAGAUAUUAACUGUUUCAUUUAAAAUUUUAUUAGAAUUUUAUUUUUUAGUCAAAAAGCUAAAAUUUAUUUAAAAGACGAGAAGACCCUAUAAAUCUUUAUAUUUUAUUUAUUUUAAUUAUAAAGAUUAGUUUUAUUAUAAUAAAUUAAAAUAUUUUAUUGGGGUGAUAAUAAAAUUUAAAAAACUUUUAUAAAUUUUAACAUUAAUGUAUGAAUAAUUGAUCCAUUAAUAAUGAUUAAAAAUUUAAGUUACUUUAGGGAUAACAGCGUAAUUUUUUUGGAGAGUUCUUAUCGAUAAAAAAGAUUGCGACCUCGAUGUUGGAUUAAGAUAUAAUUUUGGGUGUAGCCGUUCAAAUUUUAAGUCUGUUCGACUUUUAAAUUCUUACAUGAUCUGAGUUCAAACCGGCGUAAGCCAGGUUGGUUUCUAUCUUUAAUUAAUUAUAAUAUUUUAGUACGAAAGGACCAAAUAUUAAAAUUAUUUAUUUUAAAAAAGAAUAUUAUUAAUAUAU
rnacentral:rRNA from 1 species